UUUUUUUGGGGGUGGGGUUAGUGGCGAACGGGUGAGUAACACGUGAGUAACCUGCCCCUCACUUCUGGAUAACCGCUUGAAAGGGUGGCUAAUACGGGGUGUUCUGGCCUGCUCGCAUGGGUGGGUUUGGAAAGAUUCGACCGGUUUUGGUUGUUUUGGUGGGGGAUGGGCUCGCGGCCUAUCAGCUUGUUGGUGGGGUGAUGGCCUGCCAAGGCUUUGACGGGUAGCCGGCCUGAGAGGGUGGGCGGUCACACUGGGACUGAGACACGGCCCAGACUCCUACGGGAGGCAGCAGUGGGGAAUAUUGCACAAUGGGCGCAAGCCUGAUGCAGCGACGCCGCGUGAGGGAUGGAGGCCUUCGGGUUGUGAACCUCUUUCGCCAGUGAAGAAGGUCCUGCUCUUUGUGGUGGGGUUGACGGUAGCUGGGUUAAUGAAGCGCCGGCUAACUACGUGCCAGCAGCCGCGGUAAUACGUAGGGCGCGAGCGUUGUCCGGAAUUAUUG
rnacentral:rRNA from 1 species